AGAGUUUGAUCCUGGCUCAGGACGAACGCUGGCGGUGUGCUUCACACAUGCAAGUCGAACGGAGUAGCAAUACUCAGUGGCGGACGGGUGAGUAACACGUGGGAAUCUACCAUUAGGUGGGGAAUAACAGGCCGAAAGGACUGCUAAUGCCGCAUAUGUAGGCAUCUCGACAGAGAUGUUUAUGAAAGGAGUAAUCCGCCUUUUGAUGAGCCCGCGUCCGAUUAGCUAGUUGGUAGGGUAAAAGCCUACCAAGGCGACGAUCGGUAGGUGGUCUGAGAGGAUGAUCACCCACAAUGGGACUGAGACACGGCCCAUACUCCUACGGGAGGCAGCAGUGGGGAAUUUUACGCAAUGGGGGAAACCCUGACGUAGCGACACCGCGUGAGCGAAGAAGCCCUUUGGGGUGUAAAGCUCUGUCAACAGGAACGAAACAAAUGACGGUACCUGUGGAGGAAGCAUCGGCUAACUACGUGCCAGCAGCCGCGGUAAGACGUAGGAUGCGAGCGUUGUCCGGAUUUAUUGGGCGUAAAGAGUUCGUAGGCGGUUUGUUAAGUCUGAUGUUAAAGACCGGGGCUCAACCUCGGAAAUGCAUUGGAUACUGGCAGACUGGAGUGCAGUAGAGGCUAGUGGAAUUCCCAGUGUAGCGGUGAAAUGCGUAGA
rnacentral:rRNA from 1 species